CGCUUUCAAAAAUCGCCAUGCUAUUAUAAAACAAAAACAAGAUCAAACAGUAAGUAUAGAUCACAAAUUUGAGAUUUUCUGAUGGCAUGGCAAAGAUGUAAUUUCCCUUUUUACCCAUGUUGUGAUUUGUGACUCCAGAUUUAGCUCAAGGAGUGGCACGUGAAAAGGUAGGUUUUUAUCUUCUGAUGUCAUUAAAAUGUGCACCUAACUUUGUUUUGCGCUCAACAGGGCUUGGAACUCUAAGGCAAAUCACUUCAAAAGUUUAAAUUGUGUUGUGUCAUGUGAUUAAUAGCGGUUAAUGGGUGAAUUAUCAAAUCAGACAUCUUUUUCCCUUACCCUCUUUUUCAGACUCCAAGCCUGGAGAAAGGAGGAGCAUCUGUAUUAAAAACUGACCGGACUCCACAAGCUAGGAAGAGAGUGUGAAACGCCCAUGACAGGGAAAAAGUUUCUGAAGGUCAUCGUGGAGCCCCUUCUGGCAAUCGGGGCUGAGGAGCCUCAACUCUCGUUCAGAAUGUGACGCAGACGGUGUCCAUGACUGAGCUGGAGACCUUUGACAUGAUGUCCAAGGAAAUAAAUGACAAACAGGAUGCAAGACUGAAUGACAGAAUGAUUAAGCUCGAUAUUGGUUAAUCAAAAUUUUGGAUGUCCUCCCCCUCACUCUUGAUUGCUUCCAAAUGGAACCUGUUUGGUUUAAUUAAUGUACUGUCAAAGUUACUGACUUUUCAGUUAUUUUUUGCUUGAUUUACAAGAAAAAAAAUCCUCAAUUCAAUUUUGUCUACUCUUAAUUCCACUCUUCUGAGACACUGUUCAUAAUUCCUUGUAUACAGAUUGCAAAGCAGUCUUGUGUUAGGAGGCCACUGAUUUGAAGACCUGCAUGUUUCCAAGACCAUGGACAGGGAUGAUUAGUUUGACAUCUGUACUGUAGAUUAAAAAAAGACAACAGUGAAGGCUUACGAUGUGGUGGCUGCGCUCAAUGUUGAAAUUUUUUUUCUGUUGUCUCUAGACUCUAAACAAAUGACAACGUUCAAUAUGCGUGCUCAUGUGACUCGUGCAGAGGGCCCUCAGGAAGACUGCUCUGAUAGCGCUGGUAAAUAAAAAAAAAAACCUGUCUGCUCGUUCCUGUGCGAUUGCUUCAUGUUCGAAAUGUGCGAUUGACAUGAGAUGCAUCAAGGAAAAACUAUUUUACAGGUAGUCGUUUUUUUUCCCAUAUUGAUAUUUCUUAUCCAGAGUAAUCCCAAGGUCUACAAUGGGUGGUGCCCGAUGUCCAUCGAGUUCAUCUUUGUAGAAGCUGUUGGCGACACGCACAGAUGCCACGGAUGAUGAAACAAGGACCGCAAUGGCUUUAAAAUUAAAACAGGCUCUGAGUAGCAAAGGGGGCUAUCAAAACCCCACAAGAGAGUGAUGUUUAUAUUGUUUCCGCCUUGUGUUUCACCGAGCUGGUUAUUUUGUUUAUUUGAUAUGUCCUACAUAAAGUAUGUAUAUAUUUAUAUUGUAACUUAGUAGUUUUGUUCUAUUAAAUAGCCCCCAUUUUUUAACAGUGUAUGUAUAUUUUUACAUUUUUAAACAUAUGAUUUAAAAACAUUGCACAUUUAUAUUUGUGAUGGUUGGAUAAUGUUUGAAAUUUUUUUAAAUUUAGGUUCAAUUAUCGUUUUGGUUAAUUUUAACAUCAAAAGGUGUAUUUAUAUCUGCAGCUAACAUAAGUAUGACUGUUACUGAAACCUAUUUUUAU